GGGAAGGUUUGAGAAAGAGGAAGAGACAUCAUGGCCUUCUCCGUUGCCAUAACAUUCAUUCAUCCAUCUACAGAAGCUUCAUUUUUUUUCCUUUCUGAAUUUCCUUCUUUCCUUUGUGGUUUGUUUCAAAGGGCGGGGUGAAUCGUGAGUUAGAUUUUCCACGCCAAAAAUGAGGUUGUCGCACAACCAGUGUUUAGAGAGUUGUCUACCGCAUAGAGUUAGGUGUGCUUUAGGUGCUGCUUGUUUGUUAAUAAGAGAGACUUCCCUAUAACUCAAGGUGUUGGAAUUUUGCAACAAUGAGUGAUUGGUCGAUGAAUAAAGGGGAUAUGCUACUAUAUAUUAGAAACAUGGCAAGUUAAAGGUGUUGAAGUUUAAGAAUGUCGUGGUCCCUUGCUUAUCAUGAAUGUAGUUACCUAUUAAGAAGUUUAUGUCCCAUUUAUUUAUGUAUUGUAGCUUCUUGUGUUGACAACAUUGAUUGGCAUUGCCCAACCAAAAUGAUUUUGCUUGAUUCAGGUGGUUUUUCUUUUGUGUUUUGUAUUGCUUGAACCUGAUGUUGUUGGUUCAGGUUCUUUCUUGGUUAUGCCAACUAGGUGAUUGGAGGCUCUUGUAUUAAAAUUGUGGCGGACCUUUUUAACACCUAGCUCUUUAAGUCCUAGGGCAUUUCUCUGUAACAUCACAGAUUAUUUAUGCUGUGUCUGAAAUAUCCGAAGUCGUGGCAGAUUGACAAAUUGUUGAUUCAUAGUCUGAGGUGGGGGUCUGUCUGUGGUGUUUUCUUGUUGUUGCUGACUGUGGUGUUUCUGUCGGUCUGCUGAAGAGGGAAUGUUCUCUUAAUGUCUCGAGCUUUUGUUUGGAAGCAGAGGGAGUCUUGUGGUGCUGUGAGUAUAGGAGCUAAGGUGGUUAUUAUUAAAUUACUUCAAUUUGGUAGCAAGAGGAUAUGGCUUUAGCAGGGUUAUAAUUUUUGGCAUUUGAGAGUGCCUUUUCUGUAACAGGUGCAGGCGUCUGUUGUAGUGCAGCAGGGACAUCUCAUUUUGAAUGCAGAUAUAGCAAGGCGCUGACAGCAAUA